UACAGAGGGUGCUAGCGUUGUUCGGAAUUAUUGGGCGUAAAGGGCGCGUAGGCGGCCUCGCAUGUCUGAUGUGAAAGCCCACCUCUUAAAGGUGGAAUUGCAUCGGAAACUGCGAGGCUAGAGUGCCGGAGAGGGUGGUGGAAUUCCUGGUGUAGAGGUGAAAUUCGUAGAUAUCAGGAGGAACACCGGUGGCGAAGGCGGCCACCUGGACGGUAACUGACGCUGAGGCGCGAAAGCGUGGGGAGCGAACAGG
rnacentral:rRNA from 1 species